GGAAGUGAGAGAAGUGCAGGAGGGUGAAGGCAAGUUGAUGAUUCUGGAGACAGGAGAGAAGUCACCUGCCUUCUCACAGGAGAGAUGAACCAGCUCCUGGGGGCAUCACUGUUGAUCCUGUGGCUUCAGCCAGACUGGGUGAGCAGUCAGCAGAAGAGUGGUGACCAGCAGCAGGUUAAGCAAACGUCUCCAUCCCUGAGUGUCCAAGAACAAAGAGUUGCUAUUCUGAGCUGUGACUACAAUAAUAAUUUGUUUGAUUACUUCCUAUGGUACAAGAAAUACCCUGCUAGAGGUCCUGCACUCCUGAUAUCUACAGGUUCAGAUAAAAAAGAAGAUGGAAGAUUCACAAUCUUCCUCAACAAGAGUGCCAAACACUUCUCGCUGCACAUUGCAGACUCCCAGCUGGGUGACACAGCCUUGUACCUGUGCGCGGCAAGUGCACUGUGCUCUCCAGGCACCUGCAGCCUGUACCCAAACCUGCAGCUGGGUCCAAGCCACCCCUUCUUCAGAGUCUCAGUGUGUGAGGCACUAAGAAAUGCUUCAAUUUAUACAAGGCAGUAGGGAGGGUGUGCUUUAAAGCAGGGAAGGCAAGCUGAGCUUUAAGGAGACUGAUACAUGGGAGUCCUGCAAUUGGGUCAAGAACAUCCCUGGGCAUUCAGGUAUCCAAGAGUGUAACCAUUCUACUUUUUCAUUUAGUGACUGUAGAGAAUAGGGUUUAUGCUUCGAAAGCUCAACUACAGGACCCACACUAGGAGUCCCUCACAAAGCUGCCUCCCAGUAGAAGCCAUUAACUAAGCACGCACACUUUUGAAAAACUGCCAAUUCAUACAAUUCUUAGCAUACGUUUCUUCAUCAGUGACCCAGGGAAGGAUCUGAUUGUCAGUCACAAAUCAUGAAAGCCUGAUGCUAGUUUUAUUUAUAGAUAUUGUGCUUACAGAUAAAUGGUUGGAACUUACCCCUCAAGGGCUAAUUUUCUGAAGCUGAAGAUCCUUAUAGUUGAAGAAUGAAGAAAUUCAGAAUAUGUCUCUGGAAGCGAGAUGCCUCUGGAAACUCAUUACUUGGGGCAUUGUCUGGACAGGGUCUUCAGGGAUGCUGAAGACUUUUCUGAAUAGAAUAGGAUUGAUCCAGAGCUUCUCAAAACUGGUUCAUCCAGGGAUCCUCAUGGGGAUGGUUUAACUGUAGAGAGUCCUAUCGUAUUAGAUUCUCUAUUUCUGAACAUGGAUGUGCAGCUAACUCAAUGUGGAUUAGAUCCCUCAUCCCUCCAUAUGCAGGAGUAAGAGUGUACCAAU